GAUCCUGGCUCAGGAUGAACGCUGGCGGCGUGCCUAACACAUGCAAGUCGAGCGAUUCUCUUCGGAGAAGAGCGGCGGACGGGUGAGUAACGCGUGGGUAACCUGCCCUGUACACACGGAUAACAUACCGAAAGGUAUGCUAAUACGAGAUAAUAUGCUUUUAUCGCAUGGUAGAAGUAUCAAAGCUUUUGCGGUACAGGAUGGACCCGCGUCUGAUUAGCUAGUUGGUGAGGUAACGGCUCACCAAGGCGACGAUCAGUAGCCGACCUGAGAGGGUGAUCGGCCACAUUGGAACUGAGACACGGUCCAAACUCCUACGGGAGGCAGCAGUGGGGAAUAUUGCACAAUGGGCGAAAGCCUGAUGCAGCAACGCCGCGUGAGCGAUGAAGGCCUUCGGGUCGUAAAGCUCUGUCCUCAAGGAAGAUAAUGACGGUACUUGAGGAGGAAGCCCCGGCUAACUACGUGCCAGCAGCCCGCGGUAAUACGUAGGGGGCUAGCGUUAUCCGGRAWUUACUGGGCGUAAAGGGUGCGUAGGUGGUUUUCUUAAAGUCAGAGGUGAAAGGCUACGACUCAACCGUAGUAAGCCUUUGAAACUGGGAAACUUGAGUGCAGGAGAGGAGAGUGGAAUUCCUAGUGUAGCGGUGAAAUGCGUAGAUAUUAGGAGGAACACCAGUUGCGAAGGCGGCUCUCUGGACUGUAACUGACACUGAGGCACGAAAGCGUGGGGAGCAAACAGGAUUAGAUACCCUGGUAGUCCACGCCGUAAACGAUGAGUACUAGCUGUCGGAGGUUACCCCCUUCGGUGGCGCAGCUAACG
rnacentral:rRNA from 1 species